rnacentral:tRNA from 1 species
UCCGAAAUGGUCCAAUGGUCAGGAUUUCACGCUCUCACCGUGACGGUCGGGGUUCAAUUCCCCGUUUCGGAG